rnacentral:tRNA from 1 species
CCACAGCAGGCCGUCGGAGACGUCGCCCGGCGGGUAGCUGCCGACGAAGUCGACGUGGCGGGCGGCGGGCGGUUCGAAACCGCGGCUGUCGU